rnacentral:rRNA from 1 species
UACAGAGGGUGCAAGCGUUGUUCGGAAUUAUUGGGCGUAAAGGGAGUGUAGGCGGCAUUGAAAGUCUUCUGUGAAAUCUACGGGCUCACCCCGUAACGUGCAGAGGAUACUACAAAGCUAGAGUGUCGGAGAGGAUAGUGGAAUUCCAGGUGUAGAGGUGAAAUUCGUAGAGAUCUGGAGGAACACCAGUGGCGAAGGCGACUAUCUGGCUGACAACUGACGCUGAGACUCGAAAGCAUGGGGAGCAAACAGG